CUUGUACUCCCUCCGGCCGGAAAUACUUGUCAUCAAAAUGAAUAAAAGGGGAUGUAUCUAGAUGUAUUUUAGUUCUAGAUACAUCCCUUUUUGUCCAUUUUGAUGACAAGUAUUUUCGGACGGAGGGAAUAUCGA
rfam:Triticum aestivum genome assembly, contig: Triticum_aestivum_CS42_TGACv1_scaffold_424344_5BS